GUGACCUUGAAGACAGAUUCUGUAGCUUAAAGACUUAGAAUCUAGUGUGUUCUCUGACUGAGAGAGCAUAAAGAUCAGCAGGCCUUAAGGUACCAGAGGAUCCUGUGGGUUGCCACAAGACAAGAAACAGGAUGAUAACCUGAAAUAGACACAGAGCUAUUGCUAUAAUUGCCUGUCUAGAAGUUAGGUAAAUCAUCUAAACUGUAAGGUGUGUAUCAGUGAAGUAUAAACUACAGCUUCGUUGGUGUCAGAAGUAUUCUACAGACAGAAACCUAUGGAAGAAAUGGAGGAACUGAGUGGGAUCAUAAAAUACCAGAACAGGAUAAUAAUAGCAAUGAUGGUGUAAAUUGUGUGCGGCAAAUACUGGUGUCAGAGCUGUCCCCUCAGGUAUGACGUUCUAUGUCUGCCAAUGUCAGACAUAAAAACACACAAUGUACCUGUGUAAAUUCAGCACAUUAAGGGCUUACCAAGAACCAACCUAUCACCUCUGAGGAAGCAAUCAGACACAGAUUACUAAAGUAAUUGCAUGUGGUUGAACAAGUA